rnacentral:rRNA from 1 species
AACGAACGCUGGCGGCAGGCUUAACACAUGCAAGUCGAACGCGUGCAGCAAUGCACGAGUGGCGCACGGGUGAGUAACGCGUGGAUAUCUGCCUUUUGGUUCGGAAUAACCCCGGGAAACUGGGGCUAAUACCGGAUGGCUCCUACGGGAUAAAGAUUUAUCGCCAAAAGAUGAGUCCGCGUCCGAUUAGCUAGUUGGUGAGGUAAUGGCUCACCAAGGCGACGAUCGGUAGCUGGUCUGAGAGGACGAUCAGCCACACUAGGACUGAGACACGGCCCAGACUCCUACGGGAGGCAGCAGUGGGGAAUAUUGGACAAUGGGGUCAACCCUGAUCCAGCCAUGCCGCGUGAGUGAUGAAGGCCUUCGGGUUGUAAAGCUCUUUUGGCGGGGACGAUGAUGACGGUACCCGCAGAAUAAGCCCCGGCUAACUUCGUG